CCCACGCACUCAUCUGAUGACUUUUAUUACCAAGGUACCAACUUUCCCUGCAACCUCUUUAUAACACCCUUUUCUGUUUUCCAUGAAUUCAUUUAAAUCCCUAACCCAAAGUAAAGAGUCAAAAUCAAAUCAAAUCUUCAUAAAUUGUAAAUUAGAAACUCCCAGAUUCAGAAGUUUACUCGUUUACCUCUGAAAUGGCGUCCGGUUUGUUACCAUUUCGGCCACUGACAAUCGUUAGAGCUAGUAUCAGCGCCGAUGACCGGAAACCUGAAGCUAAAAAAUCUUCAUCGUACCACUGGUGGGCUCCGCUGUUCGGAGUUUCGUCGGAGCCGGACUAUUUACAGUCUGACUAUAAGAAGAGCAACCCGGAUCCGAUAGAAGCGAGGUCCCGGUUCACUCCGGGAUCUUUCACGGAGGAAAAGGCAAAGCAGCUCCGGAGGAUGACAACUAAUACGUCGUCGCAUGAUAUGUAUCACUCCGCCAUUGCAUCAAGGCUCGCCUCCGAUUUCGCUGAUCGGCGUACUACGUGAGUGAUGUGUUUUUUAUUAAAUAAUUUGUAUAAAUAUUUAAAAAUUGUUAGAAGGCGAUGUGAUGAUGUGGAUCUGAUCCGUAAGCUUGUAAUAUCUUAAUCAAUAGGAUUGUAUAAUUAGAUCAAUACUUUAUCCGAAUUAUUAAUGUAAUGGAAUGCAUAUGUGGCAUUUUUCUAUUAGGAGUUGGAUAAAUAAUUGAUUAAGCUGGGGUCGAAGUGAUUUAAUUGGCGCUUUUGGUUUAACUUUAGAAAAUUGAUAUUUUAUCAAAUUUUCAAUUACAUAUUUAUUAAUUUUUAUUAAAAAUUAAUUUUUAAUAAAAUUGAACACGGUCUAGAUGCCAUCAUAUUUCUGAAAAAUAAAUUUUUUGAAGAAUACGUAACGCUAUAAGUGCUUUGCAUCAAUUCUUGCACUACCUAAAUUGAUAUUAAACACUUGAGUCCAUAUAGCAGUAUGGGCUUGUACUAGGGUCUGUUUGGUAGAAAUUUUGAGAAUUGAUUUUUUGAUCGUUAAGAAAAAAGUGGGGAUUAUUUGUGAUAGAAGAAGUCAAAAAUUAUAGUUGGAAUAAUGAAAUAACGAUAAAAAAAUCAAAUUUUUUUGAAUGAAAAAUCACUCCCUAACAGGGCCCUAAGCACCCGUUGUAGUGCAUGUUAUUACUAAAUUGAUAGAGAUGUUUUCACCCGUACUAACAAGUUCAAGUGGCCAUCUUUUUAUGACAAAUAUAAAUUCUUAUAGAAGAUAAUAAUAUAAAAUAAAUUUAUUAUUUGUCCAACAAUUAGACGUGCAGACGCUCAAGGCUUCAAAAUCCAUUUACAAAAUUGAAUGUGAUAGUAUUGAAAAGUGUGAAAAUACAAAUAUAAAGAAAUUAUCAUUAUUUGAUUGUAAUUGAUUGAUUAAGGGGGAAAUUCUUUUAAUGAAAGUGAUUUGAAAGUAAAUUAGUAAUUAGGGAAGUAAAGAGGUUCAUGGAGUCGCUCAACCUAAUAAAAUAGAAAAAAAUUGCUUCGGGGUCCUUAUCAUUUGAGUUCUCAACGAUUACUUGACAUUUAUGGUUGGAAACUUUUAAGUUUGGAAUACCCUAGAUCAUAAUAGAUGGCUUCUGUUGAUCUUGCAGUGAAAAACACAUGACUCUAACUUUUUGAAGUUAAUAUUGGCAAAUCAUUGAUUUUAAUUAUAAAAAAAGAAAGAAAAAAAGGUUGUAUACUUCGGCUUCUAAUAGAAAUAUGGAUAAAAAAUUAAAAAAUUCAUUGACCACCCAAAUCAUGUGCCUCUUGAAUCAGUGAAUAACUGAAUCCUAGGACCUUCUUCAACAUCUGAAUGUGAUAAGUCGUCGUCGUGUGCCAAAUGAGUUAUUACAACCUUAAGAAGUUUUUUGAAAUAAAGUAUUCCAACUGUUACGCCCCCAUCUGAAACACUUCGGAAAGUUUACCACCGCGUCUUACAAGGUGUGCAACACCCAUCCGAAGUGGUUCCGAAGUGGGGAUCAUCAUCUGCUAACACACUGCAAGACACAGACAAUCUACUGAACUGGUCGAGCCUCCCUCGCCCCUGAAAUCGAAGUUCUCUGCUAAAGGAUCUGCUGCCAAUUUGAGAAAGAGAUCUAAGUCAAGAUCAUUUUUGCCCCCAAGAUUCAAUUGAUUUGACGUCUCUAUGAGCCUAGUCGAUGUGACGUAUCAACUUUAUGUCAACUCAACUUGGGAGAAGUAAUUACCCGCCCACUCUAUAGACGCGGCCGAUUGACGCCUAUGAGCAGACGUCUCACACCGUCAUAUGCGUACACGUGUCCCACAUCCAACGGUUCUUAUCAUCUAUAAAUACCCAGGGUUUAACAAGAGGUAAAGGUAAUGAAACUCUUACAACAUAACUUUCCAUAACAAGCAAAUACAUAUUCUCUUCCCCUCUACUUUGCACAACCUUGGUAUUGUUCCGACCACCUGAGACUAACUUAACCGUCGGAGUGUAUACGGUCGCCACCACCCCCGUUGGUUCUAGCCGUGUGCAUCUGACCGUGCGUUGACUGUGCGCCGGGAGGAAUACGUGGAUUAGCUAUCGGUUGGCCAUGUAGAGGGUCCAAUUUGCGAGGUCAACAUAUUGGCAUCAUCUGUGGGAAACUUUCCAUUCAAAGUUCUGCAUUUUCCACCGGAGAAACCACCCAAAAACCAGUGACUUACCCUGAAAAGGGCACGUUCUUGAAGAAGAACAAAUUCGAGUUAUAAUCCAAAUUCUUAUCACCCUUGAAAAAGGACAUAAGAUGAGUUACAGCCAUGAAGACGAAAAUCCUAUGAGAGAGGCCUCUGAAGAAGAUGUGCUCUGUAACAAUGUCACUCACCAGAGACCCCAUCACCACCGUCACCGAGGUGAAAGGACAGCCAUGCUCACUGAAGGAAUGGCUCAAAUAGCUGCAGGCAUGAGAGACAUCGCAGCCCAGAAUACGGCAAUACAUGAACUUCUCAUGCAAGCCCGAGGUCACCAGGGCUCUCAAAUGCCCCAAGGAUCUUAUCCAAUUCAGGAAACCCCAGCAUCUUGUUCUCAAGGCCAUGUGAGCCAGCACAGAGAGCGCCCCCUCGAAAGAGAAGUGGGUGCUGAAGCCACAUCCUGUUUGCAAGGGAGCCACCACAAUUGGGGGAUAAUUUCCCUCAAGAAUAUGAAGCACAAAAGUCAGUCAGCAUCUUCGAUCGAAUAGGGCAGGACCCUAGUAAUAGGGUCCACUCAGUAUGAAGAUCAGUUCGGCAAGAACAGGAGCAAGAUCAAGCACCUCCUCCUCUUAGAAAUGGGAAGGAGAGAAGGAACUUAGUUGAUUGGGGGAGUCGAGGAGAAGCACCUCCACCUCCCCAGAACAUUCAAGAUGAUGAAGGGUUAGAUAAACCUUAUCGAUCCUUUGAAAUUGACGAUGAUGAUGAUAACCUUCCUUUCUCAAAGAAAAUUCGAAGUUUUCCAAUGCAUGCGAAUUUCAUGCCCCCUAAGAUCCCUAAGUAUAAAGGAAAGGGGGACCCGGAGAAGCACCCCACCAAGUACAUGACACAGAUGAGCCUAAGGAGAGCCUCGCCUUCUUUGAAGUGCCGAGCCUUCUACUUAACCUUGAGCGGAGCUGCUGACGUGUGGUACAACAGACUUUCUCCCCUGAGCAUUAGGAGUUGGCCGGAUUUAAAGAAUGCGUUCUUGAACCAAUACCUCUCACGCAGAGAAGGAGAGGCCCUAGUGCAAUGCCUGCAAGAUAUGAAGCAGGCCCCUAGAGAGACGCUAAGAAGCUAUCUCGCUAGGUUUACCGACGAAAUCACGUAUUACGAGCAGGUCACUGAUAGAGAAGCCUUUUCAGCCUUUAAAGGCAGCUUCAACAUGAACACUUUGUUCUGGAGGGAUGUGCGCAACAAAAAUCCCACCACUUAUGACGAGCUGGAAGAAAUGAUGAGAGUUGAGAUCGUCAGCGGAGAGAUCAUUGAUCACAGAAAUCGUGUAGCGCAGGGACUCCCUUCGCCUCAGAGGCACGUAGGUCGAGGAUCGCAGCACACCUUAUCACUCAGCAAUGGACUCAAGCAGGUCAUACAAUAGCUCCCACCUCCGGACAGGCACUGGCUUCAGCCACGCUAAAUGCAGUCCCGGUGUUGGCAUACGAGAAUUUCCCUGGCAAAACAGGGCCAUCUGGAGGAACCGAUAAUAGUAAGAAGAAGAAAAAGAAGCGAUCAAACAGGCCCUUGGAAGGAGCAAUUUUUUGCACUUUCUACCAACUCUAUGGGCAUGACACCAGCGAGUGUAGAGAUGCUAAUCGACUCCCGGAUCAAAGUAACCCACAUCCCUCUAGGAGGAACGAAUAUCCUCGCAGAUCCGCCUCCCCGAACAGGGGAGAGAGAAGGCAUAGAGAAUAGUCACCCUAGAGAAGAGAAUCAAGAGAUCGAGGACAGUCCAGACAGAGAGAUCAGGCCCCAUUUUCUGGGAGCCAAGUCAUCAGGAAGAUCGACACGAUCAUUGGGGAACCUCACAUCGGUGGCAACACCAGGAACGUCCAAAGGAAUUACACAAGGGAAGCAAAGGACCCGCCAAUACUUACCUACAUUAUAAAUGAGUCCCAAGUGGCCAAUAGGAUGGCCCCAAUCACCUUCUUCCAGGAAGAUGUAGAAGGAGUUCACCACCCCCAUUGUGACGCAUUGGUUGUGAGAGCCGUAGUGGCAAGAAAUGGGCUCAAACGCAUGCUUGUCGACAAUGGCAGUUCGGUGAAUAUACUAUUCGGCUCUACCUUCGACAGAAUGCAAAUUGAACAUGGGUUGAUCCCCAUGACCGAUCCACUGUUCAGAUUUACUGGAGACAGCAUCGUCCUACAAGGGCGGAUAACUCUGCUCGUUGAGAUGGAUUCAGCUCCUCUAGUGGCCCAACAGUUCAUUGAAUUCUUGGUGGUCGACCAUAGAUCGGCCUACCAUGGAGUAUUGGGAAGACCGGCCUUAAAAGAUCUUUGGGCUGUCACCUUCAUUCAUUACUUGAGUAUGAAAUUCCCGACUAAACAUGGGAUUGCCACGGUACGAGGCGACCAGAUGGGCUGCAGGGCUUGUUACUUAAACUCUUUACGAAAAUCGGAGCCCCGAACUGUUAAUGUGAUCAUAACUGAAGUUGCCAGCGAACCCAAUUUGGACGUGAAAAUGAUCGACGCCCCUGAACAAGGGCAUACUUCCGAACAGGGGGAAGACGUCGACAUGGAAGAAGCCCCUGAGAAAGGGCACCCUCUUGAUGAAUUAGAUCCUCGGAUCAUCGACUCCGAGCCAAAUACAACCCCAGUGGAAGAACUUGAGACUUUCAUCGCCAACCCAGAGGACCCCAAUCAGGUCCUGCGAAUAGAAAAUGCACUGUCCCCCGAAGCACAAGAAGAAAUGGUGAGCUUCCUGAAAAGGAACUUGGAUGUCUUCGUUUGAAAGCAUGAAGACAUGGUGGGAAUAGAUCCAAGGAUCAGUUACCAUCAUCUUAACAUCAACUCCACCUGUGCCCCCCACAGAGGCAGAAAAUACGUGCCCUCAACCCGGAGCGGUAUGAGGCACUCAAAGACGAAGUAGACAAAUUUAGCUACAGCGGUUUCAUCAGAGAAGCUAUCUACCCAAAGUGGAUAUCCACCCCGAUCCUGGUAAAAAAGCCCAGCGAAAAGUGGAGGGUAUGCGUAGACUUCACAAACUUAAAUAAGGCAUGCCCCAAAGACAGCUUCCCAUUUCCAAGGAUAGACCAACUUGUGGAUUCCACCGCCGGACAUGAACUCUUGAGCUUCAUGGAUGUAUACUCAGAGUAUAACCAGAUACCCAUGUUCCGACCCGAUGAGGAGGCUACGUCAUUCAUCACAGAUAGGGGACUGUACUGCUAUAAAGUCAUGCCCUUCGAAUUGAAAAAUGUUGGAGCAACAUAUCAGAGGCUGGUAAACAUAAUGUUUGCCGAACUCAUUGACAAAACCAUGGAGGUCUACAUGGAUGACAUGCUAGUCAAAAGCCUUCAGGCCAACGAACACGUAAGUCACCUCGACCAAACCUUUUAGAUACUUAGAAAAUAUAAAAUGAAGUUGAACCCCCUCAAGUGCACCUUUGGAGUGGCUUCGGGUCAGUUCUUGGGAUACAUUGUAAACUAAAGAGGGAUCGAAGUAAACCCAGUAAAGAUAAUGGCCUUGCUUGAAAUGAGGUCACCUCAGAAACAAAAGGAGGUCCAAAGCCUCAAUGGUCGGAUAGCAGCACUGAAUCGUUUCAUCUCCAGAGCCACAGAUAAGAGCUUACCCUUUUUCAAUGUGCUAAAGUAAGGAAAGAAGUUUCAAUGGACUUUUGAGUGCAAAGAAGCCUUCCAAGCACUGAAGAAACACUUAGGAGAGGCACCUCUGUUGUCAAAACCUCAACUGGAAGAGCCACCACUAAUGUACUUGGCAGUUUCGGACGAGGUGAUCAGCGCUGUCGUAGUCAGAGAAGAAAAUGGGCACCAGUUACUGGUAUACUGAGCACUCCUCCCAGCUGAAACAUGCUACCCAGACAUGGAAAAAUUGGCACUCGCUUUUAUUACAGCCUCAAGAAAACUGAGACCAUACUUCCAGGCCCACUCAAUUGAAGUUCUCACCAACUUCUCAUUAAAGCAAGUGCUGCAAAGAACGGACGCAUCAGGACGCCUGCUAAAAUAGGCAAUCGAGCCUAAUGAGUUCGACAUACUGUUCCGACCUCGACAUGCCAUCAAGGGCCAGGCCAUUGCAGAUUUUGUGGCUGAGUUUGCCAAAGUCCAAGAAAUGGAGGCAACAAUGGAACCAGCUGAGCCCCCAAAGUGGAAACUGUUCGUUGAUGGAUCCUCAGGAGAGGCCGGCUCCGGGGCAAGGAUCGUCUUGAAAAGCCCCGAAGGCCACAAGCUAAAUUACGCAGUAAGGUUCGGCUUCAAAGCAUCGAACAACGUUGUCGAAUAUGAGGCCCUUCGGCAGGCCUUAGACUGGCAAGGGAAAUGUAGGCCAGAAGGCUUCCAGCAAGUAGCGAUUCUCAGCUGGUAGUGAGUCAGGUCAAUGGAAACUUCGCAGCUAAAGACAGUAGCAUGGUUGCAUACUUGAAAUUGGUUCUGGACCUAGUUCCCCAUUUUGAAAGGUUCGAGCCAAUUCAAGUCCCACGCCUAGAGAAUAGUCAUGCAAUUGCCCUGUCAAAACUGGCUAGCAGUAAGGAUUCAGAGCUACUAAAGAUUGUACCUAUUGAGCACUUAUCAAAGCCCUCUAUUUCCAGAGGUGAGGAGGUGCUAUGGAUAGAAGGCACCCCGGUAUGGAUGCAGCCCAUCAUCGCCUACCUUAAGGACCAAUCACUACCAGCUUCCAGAAGCGAGGCGAAGAAAUUAAAAAUGAGGGCUGCACACUUCGUCCUACAAGAUGUCCUUUACAAAAGAGGCAUCACCUCGCCACUUCUUCGAUGUGUAGGAGGCGAAGAAGCUAUGUAUAUACUCAGGAAAAUUCACGAGGGAAUUUGCGGGAAUCACUCCGGAGGAACGGCUCUGGUACACAAAGUGCUUCGACAAGGCUACUUUUGGCCGACCCUGAGAAGGGAUGCUUGCGAGUUUGUCCAGAAAUGUGAUAGGUGCCAACGGUUUUCAAAUAUUCAAAGGCAGCAUUCUCAGAGUCUCUCCGUAGUGACCAGCCAUUGGCCGUUCGCCAAAUGGGGCAUCGACUUCAUUGGCCCACUCCUAAAAGGAAGAGGAAGCGCGACUUUUGCCAUUGUCGCCAUCGACUAUUUCACCAAGUCGGUCCAAGCUGAACCUCUUGCCAAGAUUAACGAGGCAAAUAUAUAAAAUUCAUCUAGAAGAGCAUCAUUUGCAGAUUCAGCAUUUUCCGCUCCUUAGUAUCUAACAAUGGGAAACAGUUUGACAACAAGAAAAUGCGAAGCUAAUGUGACGAACUGGGCAUAAAGAAGGAUUUCUUAACGCCUCAUCACCCACAAGCAAAUGGGUAAGUUGAUGCUCUAAACAAAACAAUUAAGCAUACCCUGAAAAGGAAGCUUGACACCUCAAAAGGGGCUUGGGUUGAUGAGCUUCCCCACGUCCUCUGAGCCAUCAGGACAACUACCUAAACUGCAAUAGGGGAGACACCCUUCUCCAUGACCUACGGAGCCGAGGUCAUGAGCCGGUUGAGGUAGGGGUCCCAUCGCACCGUCGAAUACACUUCAAUGAGAUCAGUAACAACGACGCUCGAAUGAGCGAGCUCCACCUCCUUGAAGAAAUGAGGGAUACCUCCCAGGCGAACUUGGCGAAGUAUCAUAGAAAGAUGACCUGAUAUUAUAACUCCAAGGUCAGAAAUCGGACUCUUCGUCCGGGGGACCUCGUCCUUAGAAGGGUCUUCCAAUCAUCAAAGCCAACCGGGUUCUGAGUGUUGGGACCGAAUUGGGAGGGUCCUUACCGCAUACGUAGGGAAUCCUGACCUGGUACUUUUGAAAUUGAAGACAUGACAAGGAAAGUACUCCCUCAUCAAUGGAACAUCGAACAUUUGAGGAAGUACUAUCAAUAAUGAGUUUGUGUUCUGAUCCGAUCUUAAUGAUGUCUAGUAAACGUGUGUCAUGAUUCGAUCUCAUUUGUAACUUUCCUAUCUUACUAAGUGUUGAAAAUGCCUUAGUGAAGAGUGAUGUAGUUCCUUUUAAAUAAUGAUACUUCAGUCGCUUGUCACAUCGGCUAGUAAAUUGUUACUUCAGUUCGUCAAUAUGUCAAUUGAUCCGAUCUUCUGUUAUUAAUUGGUUAUUGGUAACGAGCGCUUAAGUGGUUAUCACACAUAAGUGUAAACAGCACAAUAAAAAAAUCAAAGCAAUAAUACUUGUACAAAAAUUUUUGUUUUCAUUCAUUUGGGAAUUGAAUUACAAGAGGCUGAAGCCAUUACAGAAAUUGAUCAACCCUACUCUACUGGGGCAUUUGCUGUCCCGACGUCCUCUGCCCUUGUCCCAGGGGCCUCUGGAGCGUCCUCAGCGAGCCUAUCAGGUCGACCUCCGGUAGGCCCACCAAACUCUGCCUCUAGCGAAGAUAUGUCCAAAGUAGGAUGAACCUCUUUCAGCCGACCCAAUAUCCCCUGGGCGCUCCAGGAAGCCUAGAAGUUAGCAACGUAGGCAUACAGGGGGUGCUCUUCAAAGUGGUCAAUAAAGUUCUGUUUAGCCACCUCCCCUACUGACUUCAGCUUCUCCUUCAAAGAGGCGAUUUCUUCAGCAUCGGUAUCCGCCCUCUGCCUCAGCUCUACCUUUUCUUUAUUGGAGGCCUCCAGAGCCCCUAUGGUGAGCCGGUGGUGCUCAUUUGCAUGAUCAACUCUUCGUGUCAUAGCAGCUACCUGGCACUCCACUUCAUAGAGCUCCUUCUUCAACCACUCUAUUUCCUCCUUUGCAACCCCCAGUCGGGCCUCAGCCUCCUUCCUUCCUUUCCCUUCCUCCUCGGCCUUGGCCCGGGCCUCUCUCACUGCAUCUCCAUAGUGCAUCGCCCCCUCAAGGCGCUUGGCGAGGUCCUCCCUCUUAGCGUUGAGGUCUUUUACCAAGCCCUCGAGUUGGAUGCUUGUGCUUAAGGCCCGGGCCAUAUAAGCACUGUUGGCCGCGACCAAAUCCUCGGCAGUGCAGGAGCCGGUGUGGUCUCUCCAUUCCUCGGUCCAAUACUUAUUGUAGACCACCACCACCGCUACUGUCUCUAGAGAAAGAGCCUCCAGCACUUCCUUCACUGGCUCCUCGGAAUUGACGCUCAAGAAGUCCACAUCUUUCGAGGGUCGGGCCCUUUUCCUCUUUUGCUGUCCCGGCGCUUGAGCAAUGGGCACAACCACGAUUGGCGAUGUGGCCGGGGUUGGAGAAGCCUCGGAAGACGUAGGUCUCUUCUCGGGGAUAACCACCUCGGUUGGAAUUGUCGUCUGCCUCAAAGCUGGGGACGGCCUCGCUACAGUUGGGCGCUUUGAGGGGGUGGCAGGCCUCUUCCCUUUCCACAGCAAAUUGGUGUCCGGGUGCUCCGCAACCUUCUCUUGAGUGGGAGGCUGGAGCCUCUUGUUGGCCUCCACCAGAUCCUCCAUCUGCUUUUUGUAUACAGACGAGGAGGUUUUCAAGGCUCUCGCCUUGGCCAUCAUCCUUUGGAUGGUUUUGAAGUCUGGCCUCAGAGGCAGCUUCUUAUUAAAGUUAUCUACAAAGAGACAGGCAAAUUAGUAUAAGUGUAAAUAGUUCGGAAAGUACUGAACGAAUUCGCUUCGGGACAUACCAUCAAAUCGUGCGUCACGAAGUGGACGUUUUUCCUUAUCAGCUGGUGGUAUGACCUCUUCUUCGAAGGCAGCUGAUAAAUAAUGCAGAUGAUGUUGAAGUCAUCGGUGGAAAGCUCGUACCGAGGAAGAGAACCUUCAAAAAACAAACAGAACAGUUAAUAACCGAACCGAAGAAGGAUAAACAAGAUGCACAAAGCCACAUAACUCACUAAGUGUUGAAUAUUUUAUGGGGAUCAUAAGAGGCGCCAAGGGGUCCCCCUCCAUCGUGUCCCAUCUCUCGGCAGCCUAGCACCACGAGCUCUUCCACCCCUUGAUGGAGCUCGACAGAUCAAGCACGAAUGGAGUGUGGGAACCCCAUGAGGUCAAGUAGUACCAGUCCCUAGUCUUAUCCCCCCCCCCAGUCGCUACCUUAGGGAUGUAGAUAGUCUGGAAUACAGAAAAAGGCAUAUCCACCCCAAGCGACGCCUCUUUCCACAACAUCCAGGAGCCCACCAUUUGACUCCAGAAGUUCGGGUUCAAUUGGGUAGGAGCUAAGCCGUAUGACCUAAGUACCAUAAGAAAGAAAGGGUGGAUUGGUAGCCUAAGGCCAGCACUAAGGAUCGUCUCGCUUAUUGCCACGCACCCCGGCCUAGGGUAGCAGGCCUGCUCAUCAGGUUCUGGUAGGAUCAGAUCUACAUCAUCUGGGAUCCUAUAUUCAGCCCUAAGUCUCUCCAGGUCGGCACCCUCUAGCUUAGAGGGGUAAUCUGACGCCCCUUAAUGCACAGAUGUGUCGGUCGGGCUAUCAGGCCUCUUCCAUAGGUUCUCCCCCCAAUAAUUGGCUCAUCUAUCUCAGAGGAGGUCGCCAAAAUGGGCUCAUCCAUCCUCACUAGUUCCAACCCCCUAUCCGAACUACCACUAUCCUCAGAAGCCAUUUUCAGAAAGGAAAACUUUUAAAUACUUACUGAAACUUUCGAAAUGGAAUGUCCCGCAACCAAAAACGGUCAAGAAACAACGUGAGUCACCGAAAACUGGGAAACAAUAUGAGUAGCCGAAAAUUGGGAUUUCUCUCCAGAAGUUGCUUGAAGAACGCCGAAAUGCAAUGAUUUCGAGAGAAAAUGGGGUUUUUGAUUUCGUCAAAGUGAAAAGGUCCAAAAUCCCUCAAUUCUGCCUUUUAUAGAGCGUCCCAGCUGAUCUACACUGUUGAAUUCAAAUGCAAUCAAUCUAGGCCGUCCGUCGCAUCGUCAAUCUAGGCCAUUGAAAUGAAACACCGGAUUUCAUAUAUACCUAAGAUCUAGCUGUAACCUUCACGCUUUUACGAAACGCGUUGCCUCGAUCACCAUCAGCCGUCUGCAAUAAGUAGCCGCAGCAGCCUUUUCUGGGAAUGGGCAUCGUGCCCAACUAUCACCUUGGAAAAACGGGACAACUGUCUAAUCAUUUAAAGUCAGAGAUGCCCGUCUCAGAUCAAGCUCUUCACACAGCUUUACAAAGUUUAGACGCAUCUGAUGUAGAGCCCUCAUGUGGGUCAUCACCUCGGAAGCUGUGUUCUCUCCUAAACUUUACAAAGCUUUAACCAUCUCCCAACACGUUGUCCCCUGUGGGUCAACGCACCGGUGGCAGAUGAGCUCUUUACAUAGCUUUACAAAGCUUAGACGCAUCUGAUGCGGAGCCCCUCUUGUGGAUCAUCGUUUCGGAAUCUGUGUUCCCUCCUAAGCUUUAGCCAUCUCCCCACGCAUCGUUCCCUGUAGGUUAACGCACCGAUGGCAGAUGAGCUCUUCACACAGCUUUACAAAACUUAGACGUAUCUGACUUGGAGCCCCCUGUGGGUCAUCGCCUCAAAAGUUGCGUUUCCUCCUAAGCUUUACAAAGCUUUAGCCAUUUCCCAACGCGUCGUCCCCUAUGGGUCAACGCGCCGGUGGCAGAUGAGCUCUUCACACAGCUUUACAAAGCUUAGACACAUCUGAUGCGGAGCCCCCCUGUGGGUCAUCGCCUCGAAAGCAACGUUACAAAUCUUUAUCCAUCUCCUAACGCAUCGUCCAGUUGGCAGCACAUCGGCCUCGGAUAAGUUCUUCCCUUACACAGUAAUGAGUCUUUAGCGCAUCUGCCUGUGGUCAACGCUUCGAUGAACACAGAAAAUCGACCCAUAAGCCCUCACAAAUCGCGGUCCCCAUCCCAAGGCGGACAUACUCGAUCGGAAAAACAAGUCCACCCGUGAUAUAAAUAUUCAUACCUGAACUUGGACGGACCACUGUUACGCCCCCAUCUGAAACACUUCGAAAAGUCUACCACCGCAUCUUAUGAGGUGUGCAACACCCAUCCGAAGUGGAACUACCAUCUGCUAACCCACUGCAAGACACAGACAAUCUACUGAACUGGUCGAGGCGCCCUCGCCCCUGAAGCCGAAGUUCUCUGCUAGAGGAUCCGCGCCAAUUUCAGAAAGAGAUCUAAGUUAAGAUCCUUUUUGCCCCCAAGAUUCAAUUGAUUUGACGUCUCCAUGAGCCUAGUUGAUAUGGCGUAUCAACUUUAUGUCAACUCAAUUCGGGAGAAAUAAUUAUCCGUCCACUCCAUAGACGCGGCUGAUUGACGCCUAUGAGCAGACGUGUCACACCGUCAGAUGCGUACACAUGUCCCACAUCCAACGGUUCUUCUCAUUUAUAAAUACCCAGGGUUUGAAAGAGGUAAAGGUAAUGAAACUCUUACAACAUAACUUUCCACAACAAGCAAAUACAUAUUCUCCUUCCCUCUACUUUGCACAACCUUAGUAUUGAUCUGACCACCUGAAACUUACUUGACCGUUGGAGUGUAUGUGAUCGCCACCACCCCCGUUGGUUCUAGCCGUGUGCAUCUGACCGUGCAUUGACUGUACGCAAAGAGGAAUACGUGGAAUAGUUAUCGGUUGGUCACGUGAAAGGUCCAAUUUGCGAGGUUAACACCUACAUCUCCAAAAAGAAUAUUCAGAUGCUACCAACCAUAAUUUGAAAGAAUUUUUUUAGUAAAACAAUCCAAGUAUAUUGGGAUUCCACAUGGAGAAUAUGCUUUUAAUAUGAAGAAUUUGGCUCAAACUGAGGUCCUUGGAAAGGGAAUUGAAGAGCAAUUUGUAUUUUGUCACCGAGAAAAUAUCUAUUAAUGCCGUUUUGUCUAUACUCUCUCUAUCUUAAAUGGGAAAUUAAUUUUUUGCACAUGUUUAUUUCUUUUAGUAUGAGACAUUGCAUGUAUUGGCCUUUUACACUUUAGUUAAAAUGUAGACAGAUUGAGUGGUCCAUAUGGAAACGCUAAAGAAUUUUCCAAGAUGACGCUAGGCUGGCCUUGGAGAGCGCUUGACAUCAUUGUUAUAUUUCUCCGUAAAGAAACAAACUUUAAAAGUUAAUUAUGUUGACUGUUCAAAACUCUCUAUGCGAGAAAGACGAUUGGUUAAAGUAAUACGGGUAAAUGCAUCUUGUAUUAGUGAUGAAUUUAUUUGCACUUACAUACAGUGGCGGAUCUAGGAUUUUGAAUCAAUGCGGGUGACUGUUGACCCAAUAAAAUAUUACGAGCUCGUUUGAUGUAAUUUGAUGGAAGAUAUGUGGUUAAAAAUAAGGAAAAGUUUUGAAUUUCAUGUAAUAUUAUUUUAUAGAAAAAUAUAUGGUUGAAAAUAUAAGAGAGAAAAAUAUAUUCUGAAAUAAAUUGGAAUCAAACAAGACCUAAAAUUUAAACAUAACAAUUAUUUUGUUGAAAUUGAACAUAUAUAAUUUUGUUAAAAGAAUAAAUCAUACUCAUCAAAUGACAUUGUUGCCAAGUUUUAUAUAAUUCAAAAGAAGAGCACAUGUUCAAAUCUUUGUUUCAUUAAAACAAGCUAAGAUCUAAUAUAUUAAAUUUGUUAAAUAUAUUAUCACAAUUCGACAAGUGGUAUAAUGGUCAAACUACUAAUAAUUUUACAAUGGCUCCAGGUUCUAAUACCCUCCUCCCCAUUCCAUUAAUUUUAAAUUGUAAAACUAAAAAAAUUGAACAAUAAAAGUUGAUUGAUAAAGGAUCGAACCUGGGACUUGCAAGAUGUAUAAGCCAACACUAACCAACUUGGCCAAAAGGAACGUUUGAAUGCAAAAUGAUUAUCAGAAAUAUAACCUAAAAAAUUCAUCUAUUUUCAACCAAAAAUAAUGGCUACCGGCAGAUUGAGCACGUGCGGCCCCAGGUGCUUGCGAAGUGCUGGAUCCUCUAGUGCUUGCAUAUAUAGUAUUGUACUUGGGAACAUUCAAUUUAAUAAUUUUGAAGAAUUGAAUAUUCCAAUAAUAAUAAUAUAAAGAUUGUUAACUUUCAAAGUGUUUAGAAAUUGAUUAUAUUCGCUUGUUGAAUUGAUAAAAAAAAAAAUAGGAAUAAUGUUAUUUAUCAUUAUCAUGAUAGAACAUUGGUGAUGUGACAGUUUACGUGAAAUAAUGAGAUUUGACAGAUCAAUUUUAUGAUAGAAGGGAGGAGAUAUGGUCUCAAAACAGAAAGAAAUGUGAGGAAUAAUGAGUUGUCACAUCACUGAUGUUCCAUUGUCAUGAUGAUAAAUGGCAUCACUUCAAAAAUAGCAAGAACUCCAACCCGAUUUCAAGAUUAUCGAGGAAACUUAUUCACCAUUCUUUUGAGUGCUUCAUGUUUGGCUAAGCCUCGUAAGUUUAUUUAUAAGUAAAUAAUAAUUCUCCAUUUUAUUAAUGAAUAUUUGACAUAUAUAAAUUCAAUGUUUUCAAAACUCGACUAGCUCAACUUGAAAAUUUGGUUACCAGACUGAAGUCCGAUUCAAUUCUAGUGCAAAAACUGAAGGUUAAGAAAUCGGUGUAAAAGCCAGAAACCGUUUGGUUCAACAUAAAAACCAAUGAGCUAAACUCUAUUUUUAAUGGUUCACUGAUAUUUCGUACCCCAAAAAAUAAAAAUAAAAAUAAAUUUAAAAUGAAGAAAAGGAAGAAGUUUCCUUCAUUACUGCUUCUGAACUAGAGCUCCAAUAUCCAUUGUGAAAUCUUUCAAAUCCAAAACAAUCUUAUACAAAUACAUAUAUUUUACGUUUUUAUAUACAAAUCAAAAAUAAUAUUUAUGUUGUUACAUAUAAAUACAUAUAUUUGUAGGAGAAGAGAAGACUGAGAAAGAAGAUGGAAAGAUGGCGGAAUAUGAUGUUGAACUUUUGCCUCUGUAGAGAGUGUGUGUGUGUGUGUGUGUGUAUAUAUAAGAUUUAUAGAAAAUUAAAGAGAGUAUUGAGUAGGAUUAAAGUUAUUAAAAGUUUAAAGUUUAAAUAGCCAUUUAAAACAGUAUACCCCCCCAAUUGGUAUCAGAGCCAAAAAAGAAAGUAGUGAUUGGGAUAGAAAAGGCUUAUAAUAUUAGAACUUACAGGUAUUAGAAAUAAUAGAUUGUCUUACCAAGUAAAAUAUAGUAUAGAUAUUUGUGGUUAUUUUGAGGAAGAUAAUAUAGUUGGAGCCUGGAGUAAAGAUUUAAUUGAAAUCUUAGAAAUAUUUAAAGUUCUUAAAUAUUUACCUUUUGAAUUAAGAGAAAAUAUAGUAAAAAGAGUCUUAGUAGAAGAAUACAGACAUAUUUUUAUAACAGAACAUAUUUAUUACGAUUUAGAACUCUGGAUAUCAAUAGAAAGCUUGAAUUCUUAGAUUUAGAAAUUUUAAGAAAUACUAGUAAAAAAGUACAAACAGUUGAUAAUAAUAUAAUUAAGUGUAAUUUAGAUAAUAAGCAUAAAUUACAUAGUUUAUUUUCAGAAGAUCCAAGUCAGAAUUGUAUUGUAGACUUGAUCAUAAAUUUAUCAAGAAAUUUAGAACUUGAAAAUAAAAAGCAAAAUAGUUAUCUAGAAAUUAUAAAAGAAAACAUUACAGUUAGAGACCAAGAGAUUAAAAAUAUAAAAGAAUCUUUAGAUUAUAUUAAAAAUCAAAAUUCAAGAAUUUUAGAAAAACUUGUUAAACUAGAAAAAAUACCAUCUAAGGUAGAUUUAACAGAAAUAAAAAGAAUUUUAGAUUCAAAUAAAUCUAAAGAGAUAGAUAGAGGAACUACAUCAAGUGUAGAAAAAGACCUAAAAUCAUUAACAAAUACUCUAGAAAAACUAAGUUUUAAAGAAAUAGAAAAAGAAAAGGUAACUAGGAAAUUACUUAAAGAAUACAAAUUUCCAAGAUGAAUACAAAUCCUUUUCUAGGAAGAUCUAGAACUAUAAAUGAAGAAGCAUCUACAUCUAGAAAUAGUACUUCAAGUAUAAGCAGAAAUAUAAUAGAAAGAGUUUUAAACAGACCAGUUCAAUAUAAUCAAAAUAUAGAAGAAAUCAUAGAUCCUCAACAAGAUUAUCAAAGAUUUCAGGCUAAUGGAUUAAGAAUUCUCAACCCAGAAAUACUAUAUAAUAGAGGAAUUUUUGAAACAAGAACACAAUUUUUUAGACAUAGUAGAGAAGUAUAUGUUCAGUGUAUAGGAAAUCAGGUAAGAAAAUUAAAUUUAAUAUCAGAAGACUCUAAGAGAGAAUUAAAAAAGAAAAACUUUAGAUUUAUGCAUUUAGGAUUAAUAGUUAUAGGUAUAAAAGGACUAAUGAGAAAAAAUUUAGGAUGUAAAGUGUUAGUUACUAUAUAUGAUGAAAGAAUUAAUAAUAUAGAUAAAAGUAUGAUUGCUAGUACAGAAGUAGAUAUGAACAAUAAUAAUGGUAUAAUUUAUUGCAAUCCAGAUUUCUUAUUAACUAUUAAAGAUUUUUCAGAUAAAAUUAAAAUAGGAAUACAAACAAAAGGAUAUGAAGAAGUAGAAAGUGGAGAUAUUUAUUAAUUAGCAUAGGAUUUUUAGGAAGAUGUUCGAAUAAUUCCCAAACAAAAUAUAAGAUAUAUAUAGACAAAGUAGUAAAUUUAAUGAGUAGUAAAUGAAUUAAUAUGGUUAAGUCUAAAGAAUAUUCAUCAGAACAAUUGGCAGGAUUAGAAUGGGAUAUGGAUAAAUUUUUAGAAAAUCAAGAAACAAUUAUAGCACCACAGGAAGCAUUAACUUAUAAAGAUAUUCAUGGAAGAACUAGUCUAAAAUUUUUAGAUUAUAAUCAAGUACAAAGACAGAAUGAUUUUGAAAAAGAAACCAAUCCUGAUGAAGAACAAAAUGAACCAUUUCAAAAUCAAGUUCAUAUAGAAUCAAUAGAUGAGGAAUUUGAUAGAAUAAUUUAUCCAAAAGAAUUAGGAAUGAAUUUAGAUAAUAAAGAACUAUCAGAAUUAGAUGACCAAAUGUAUCUUAAUAAGAUAAUUACAGAAUCUAAAUAUUUAUAUUAUGACCAAGAACAGAGUAUAAGAAUAGGAACCAUUAAAGAAGAUAAUGAUUCAGAUAAUUCAGAUUUUAGUUAUAUAAAAGAACUUAUGGAAGACUCAAAUACAUAUAGAACUUUUAGUGAUACUCCUUUUGAUAGAACAGUUAAACAUGAAACAAUGGUUUAUAGUGGAGGAUUUCCUCCAAGAGGAGCUUAUCCUUUAUAUAAUAAUACAGAAAGAAAAUAUAUAGCAAGAGGAAGUGAAAGACCCUUAGAAAAGAAAAUAGAAUUUCAAUCAGAUCAUAAAACACAAAUUUUAAAUAUUACAGCACAUGAUCCACAGACAUGGAAUAAUGUAAUAGAUGUAUGGAAGAACACUAUAAUAGGACAUUAUAUUAGAAACUUUCAAGAAAUGAAAUCUUUAGAUAUGUAUAGAUAUUUUGAAACAUUUUUAGGAGAAAGCGUAAAAGCAAUGUGGGAAGCAUUCAAAUUAGAAAAGAAACAAGAAUUUGAACAACUAGUUAGUAUGGAAAGUAAUCCUUAUAAUUUUGUUAAUAAAAUACAAAUCUUAAUAACAGGAGCAGAUCCAAAUUCAGGACAUAUGAGUAUACAAAGAAAAGCUAUGAGAGAUUUAGAACAACUUAGCUUUUAUAAAUGGACUAAAGAAAGAUAUGUUAAGAACUUUUUAAAUGAGUAUCAUUACUUAACUUCAAUAUCAGGAAAUACAUUUAAUCAAGAAAUAGGAAAUAAAUUAUUUCAUAAAUUAUCAGGACCAUUAGGAUUAGAAAUCACAGAUAAAUGGAAUAAUUUACCAGCAGUAAAAGAAGAACCAGAAAAACAAUGGAGUAUAGGACAAAGAAUACAACAUGUAAUAAGAUGUUUAGAAGAUAAAUGUGUAGAAUUACAAAUUCAAAAACAACUUAAAAAGACAUACUAUAAAUUUUGUAAAGACAUUUUCACCCCCACAAACUUAUGAAGCCUCUAGUUCAAGAAAAAAUAAGUAUAGUAAUAAAGAAAGAAAAAAUAAAAGAUCUUUUAAGAAAAGAUAUUUUCUUAGAAAAUCUAAUUAAAGAAAACCAUACUUAGAUGAAAAACGACGUGUUAGAAAAUUUAAACCAGAAAGAACUUAUAAAAAUAGACUUAGUUGUUACGUCUGUAAUAGUAAUGAACAUUUAUCCAAGACUUGUCCAAAAAGAAUAAAUAAUUACGAUAAAAAGAGUACAUUAAUAGAAUGCACUAAUGAAGAUUUAAUACAACUAGAUGAAUAUAUUUCAGAUAAAGAAUCUAUUUAUAGUAUUAUAUCAAUAGAAGACAGAGAUUUAGAAGAAAAUAAAGAAUCUGAUUAUGAAACAAUAGAUGAAUUCUCUAAUAUAAAAUUACAAGAAGAAUCAGAAUCAGAAGAAGAACUAAACUUAAUGAAUAGUAUAACUAUAGAAUGUCUACAUAAUUGGCAAAAAUAUAAAGGAGCAGAUAAUAUAGUUUGUUAUUUAUGUAAUUGGUACCCAGUUAGAAAAUUUAGAGCUAAAUGUUUAGAAUGUUAUAAAGAAGCAUGUAUAAAAUGUUUAGAAGAAAAAAAUCUUAUUGAAAAAGAAGAAGUUAAUUCAGAAAUCCUAAAAGAAAAAAUUGAAAUAUUAGAAAUAAAAAUUCUUAGGAAAAGAAUUGAAAGCCUAGAAGAAAUGCAAAAAUUUAUAAUAAAUAAGAUAGAAAUAUUAUAAUAUAACAAUAAAGGAAAAACAAUAGAAAUAGAAGAACAUAGUCAAGGUACAGAAUAUAAAGAAAAAGAAUAUGUUCAAGUAAUAUGUAACCCAGAAAAACUUAAAAGCAUUAAGGUAAAAUGUUAGAUAAAAAUAUGACAAUAUGAAAUAAAAUGUUUAGAAUUAAUAGACUCAGGAUGUAGUAAUUGUAUAAUUAAUAAAAAAUUAAUUCCAAAACAAUAUACAAUAUACUCAGACAAACCAAUAGAAGCACAACAAAUGGAUGGAGAACUCUAUACUUACACUGAAUUAUUACAAUCAAAUAGUAAGAUCAGUUUUGAGACAAACUGUGGUAGAAGUAUAGAAUAUACCUUACCAAAAGAAUCAGUUUGGGUUAAACCUUUAAAUAUUAAAGAUACAGAUUUUAUUAUAGGAUUAAGUUUUUUAUUAAAAGAUAAUGGAAGUGUUACAAUUACUAAAGACUUUUUACAUUUACAAAAACAUACCUUAUUUACACCAACACAGACUACCUAUUUCCCAUCAGAGUGCAUAGAGAAGCGUUGUGGAAAUAGAAAUAACUGUAAGUGUGAAAAAGAAAGAGAAUGUCAAUUAAUAGAAGAAGACAAUCUAAAAGAAAUAGAUUUUGAAAUUCUAAAAAAGGAUGAAUUGGAUAAUUUAGAAAACAUAGACUUUGGAACUAUAGAAUUAAUUGAUAAUGAAAAGAUUUAUAAUAUGUUAAUAACAGAACAAGAAAUAGAAAAUUUAAUAUCUAGAUUAGAAAAAAUAGAAAUUAUAGGAGAAAAUGUUUUAAAAUAUUGGGAAAAAGAUAAAAUCCUAUGUGAACUUAAAAGCAAAAAUUCAGAAUAUAUAAUUAAAACUAAAAAUAUUGAAGCUACAAACUUAGAUCUAGAAGAUUUUAAAAUACAUAUAAAAGAACUCUUAGAAUUAGGAGUUAUUAGAAAAUCAGAUAGUCCUCAUAGAUCAGCAGCUUUUAUAGUCAGAAAACAUUCAUAAAUUAUUAGAGGAAAGAGUAGAAUGGUAAUUAAUUAUAAAAGACUUAACGAUAAUACCAUAGAUGAUACUUAUAAUAUACCAGACAAGACAGUGUUAAUAAAUAAAAUACAAGAUUGUAAAAUUUUUAGUAAGUUUGAUUUAAAGUCAGGAUUUUGGCAAGUAAAAAUGCAUCCAGAAAGUAUUAAAUGGACAGCAUUUACCUGUCCAGAAGGACAUUUUGAAUGGCUUGUAAUGUCAUUUGGAAUUAAGAAUGCACCUAGUAUUUUUCAAAGAAAGAUGGAAAGUAUUUUUAAUAAACAUAGUAAAUUCGUAAUAGUAUACAUAGAUGAUAUUUUAGUAUUUAGUAAAAAUAAACAAGAAUAUAGAGGACAUUUACAAAUAGUAUUUUCAGAAUUUAUUAAACAUGGCUUAAUAAUUAGUAAAAAGAAAAUAAUUUUAUUCAAAGAAUUUAUAGAUUUCUUAGGAGUUAACAUAGGAGAAUGUAAAAUAAAGCUACAACCUCAUAUUGCUAAGAAAGCUUUAGAAUUUUCAGAUAAAUUAGAAGAUUUAAAACAAAUCCAAAAAUUUUUAGGAUUAGUAAAUUAUGCUAGACCAUUUAUAAAAGAUUUAGGAAAAAUAGCAGGACCUUUAUAUGCAAAAACAUCUCCUACAGGACAAAGAUUCUUUAACCAAGAAGAUAUAAAAUUAGUCCAACAAAUAAAAGAAAAAAUAAAAAAAUUGCCAGAAUUAGCUACGCCAUUAGAUUCAGAAUAUUUAAUUAUAGAGACAGAUGGAAGUAUGAUAGGAUGGGGAGCUAUAUUAAUAUGUAAACCCAAUAAAUAUACUGAUAAAAGUACAGAAAGAAUUUGUAGGUAUAACAGUGGAAACUAUAAAGAGAAAGGAAAUUUAAGUAGCAUAGAUGCAGAAUUAUUAGCUAUAAAUUAUGCAUUAGAUAGUUUUGAGUUAUUUAUUAUAUCUAAGAAAGAAAUAACUAUAAGAACAGACUGUGUAGCUAUAGUCUCAUUUGUUAAUAAAAUGAAAAUAGACUCAAAAAGAAGUAGUAGAAGAAGAUGGUUAAAUUUUAUUGAUAGAAUUACAAAUAUAGGAUUUAAUAUAGAAUUUGAGCAUAUUAAAGGUAGUGAUAAUAAAGCGACAGAUAUACUGAGUAGAAUAAUAAUAGAUAAAAAUUAUUAAACUUGUUUAACAUAAUUUUGUUAUAUAGAUGACAAGACCAAGGCUCUUAAGACCAGGAAUUCCACCAGGAAAUUCAUUUGCAUCAAGUUCCUUACCUCAGACUCCAUUUAAUCAGAACAGACCAAUGUUACAAGACAGGAUAAGGUUUGGAAACCAAGAACUUAUAGUUUUCCCAAAUAGUAAUAUUUCCUUUAAAAUUUUACCGCAUAUAUCUUUAUCUAGAGAAGAGAAAUGUAUUUUAGACAAUUUAUGGAUUUCUUAUAAUAAGAAUCCAAAAGAUCAGAAAUAUUUUCUUACAUGCAUGAAUGCAUUAUCAGAACAUUUUAGUCAGAACAAGCAAAGAUUUAAAUUUUAUAUUGUUGUUAAAGGUAAAAAUUCAGGAAUUUUUCAUUCUUGGAUAGAAGUUUUAGAUUGAAUUAAAAAUUUUCCAGAUCCUCUUUACAAAGGUUUUACAAAUUUUCAAGAAGUAUUAAAUGCAGCAAGACAACAUAUAGGAAUAAAUUUUUAUUUAUCUCCUUCCUUAAAGAACUAUUCUGAUCCUCCAUUAGACUUUUCUCCAAGCAAAGACCAGAAUAUUUUUUGCCAACAUUGUGAGUGUAUGCAGAGAAAUUACAAAGUUAUUAAUGAAGCCAACCAGAACCUCUCAUUAGAAAGAACCCAACUUCAAAAGAAAAUAGCCCAACUUGAAAAAGAGAUUUUGGAUCUAAAAGUUCAAUAUCAAAUAGGUACUAUGGAGCCCAAGAAGUCCAUAACUAGUCCGCCCAAACGGUAGCUGGUAAAGACUUAUCAAACCCGUUAAAGGUUGUGGACUUACCAAAAGCCCAACAGACUCAGGGGACUGUUGAUUCCUCUACUAAAAUAGAUAAUCAGACUCAGCAGACUGAUAAAUCUGCUACAGAAAAAGGUAAAGAGAUUUGGGAUCUUUUAGGACAGCCCAGCGGAAAAUUUGAUUAUUUAGUAAAGUAUAGUCCACCAGAACAUUUUUCAUCAGAACACUUUUCAAAUAAUCCAGACUUCUCACAAGCUCAAGAAAAUCAGCCCAGUAAGGGAAAAGAAAAAAUUGUGACCCAAGAUAGUCAAGACCCUCUAUUUAUUCAAGAAGCACAAGAUCCUAAUCAAGAUAUUGUCUCCUUAGAAAAGAUUUUUGAAAAAAUUGAAGAAUUUCAGAAACAAUCCAAAAAAGAUGAAGGAACUUCUUCCAGAAAAAAGAAAAAGAUUAAGAAGAAGAAAAAUGAUGAAGGACUGAAAGAACAAAUCAGAGAGGCAGUGAACCAAGCAUUUGAGACAAUUUUAAAAAAGAGCCAUGAAGAAGAAAAAGAAAUUGCAGAAUGUCCAGAACAAAAAGAAAAAGAUGAAGCCAGUUAUUCCAGACUUUCAGAUGAAGAAGAAGAUCCACAAGAAGAAGGAUACAAUAAUUCAGAUAGUGGAAUGUCAUUUUCAUCAGUGGCACGCCAUAAUCUCCGUACAUGAUCAAAUCUUCAAUAAUUCAGAAAAGACAAAUUUUGCCAGAAGAAAAGAAGAAAAAGGAAGAAGACCCAAAAAUCAAGAUUGAAGACUUUUGGGGAAAGAUGUAAUGAAUCCUUUGAAAAAAGAAAAGAUUCUCCGAGAAAGGAAAAAAAUUUCAAAAGUAGGAAAGAUUUUUAAGACUUCUAGAAAAAGUUGGUGAAGCUUGUAAUAUCUUAAUCAAUAUGAUUGUAUAAUUAGAUCAAUACUUUAUCCUAAUUACUAAUGUACUGUUGUUAGGUAAAUGGAAUGCAUAUGUGGCAUUUUUCUAUUAGGAGUUGGAUCAAUAAUUGAGUAAGGUGGGGUCGAAGUUAUUUAAUAGGCGCUUUUGGUUUUACUUUAGAAAAUUGAUAAAAAUUUAAUACAUUUCAUGAUACUCACUUUUUUUUUUAAAUCAAAUUUUCAAUUACAUAUUUAUUAAUUUUUAUUAAAUAUCUGCUAAAAAUUACUUUUUAACAAAAUUGAACACGGUUUAGAUGUUAUUGUAUUAUCUGAAAGAUUAAAUUCUUGAAGAGUACGUAACGCUACAAAUACUUUGCAUCAAUUCUAUCACCACCUAAAUUGAUAUUAAGCACCCGAGUCUAUGUAGCAGUGUGGACUUGUACUAAGAACCCGUUGUAGUGCUUACUAAAUUGAUAGAGGAAUUUUCACCGGUACUAACAAGUUCAAGUGGCCAUCUUUUUUAUGAAAAAUAUAAAUUCGUACGGAAGAUAAAAAAAUAUAAAAUAAAUUUAUUAUUUGUGAAACAAUUAGACAUGCACACGCUCAAGGCUUCAAAAUCCAUUUACAUAAUUGAAUGUGAUAGUAUUGAAAAGUGUGAAAAUACAAAUAUAAAGAAAUAAUCAUUAUUUGAUUGCAAUUGAUUGAUUAAGGGGGAAAUUCUUUUAAUGAAAGUGACUUGAAAGUAAAUUAGUAAUUAGGGAUGUAAAAGAAUUUACUUUUUGGAAUUCUUGAAUCAGUGACGUACUUCAACAUUAGAAUGUGAUAACUGAUAAGUCAACAUCGAGUGCCAAAUGAGUUAUUACAACCUUAAGAAGUUCUUCGAAAUAAAGUAUUCCAACUUAUCUACAUCUCCAAAGAGAAUAUUCAGAUGCUGCCAAUCAUAAUUUGAAAGAAUUUUUUCCUAAUAUAUAAAAAGGGGAAUGUGAUGGCACUGUAGAAAAUAACAGUGUCUUGAUCCAUGUUUAUUGUAGCAUUUUUGUUUUUUUUUUUACAAUUGGGGGCCAAAAACGACGCCGUUUGCUUGAUAUAUAUUUUAUUUUACUAUACACUACCUCCAAAUUUACUGCAACACGCAAUUUCCAUUCUUCCCCCAUUCCGAUAUAGAUAUAUGUAGUGGGGAUAUAAGAAAAAAAUCACUUUUAUAUAUAAAAAAAGAUAGAGAAAAUAUGCGACAGAAUUUUCUUUACAACAUAUUACUUGUAAGUAAAAAAUUUGAAGAGAAAAUAAUUAACGAGAAUUUUAAAUUGAAAAAAAUUAUAACGUAAAACUGCACAAAAAAAAAAGUAAUCUCUCCGUGCACGGAGGAAAGAGACAAAAAAAAUAAAAAAUAAAAUUAGGAAGGACUCCGUGCACAGAGACCAUGGCUAUCCAUGCACGGAAAGAGAAAUAAUUUUUUUAUUUUUUUAUUAUUUAUGGUUUUGUGUUUAUUUUUAGGCUCAUUACGAGAUAUCAAACGAAAUCGAAAUAUUACAUUGUUAAUAUCGUUUUGAAAUACUCGCGGCAUAGUAUUGCACGUCGUUAACGGUGCAUGAAAUGGUCAAUCGUAGCAAAUGUUAUGGGACGUCAAAGUAGAUAUUUUCAAACUAUAUUUUGAAAUUUUCGAUAACAAGCAAACUUUAAAAAUUUAUCGACGAUUGUACAAUAAUCGAAUCGAUAAAUAUUUUACAUUCUCUCGAAACUCAUUUUGAGAACUAUAUUAUAGAGACAUCGAAUGAUCUAAAUAGAUAUAAAAAAUAGUUAAACAGACAUUAAACAUAUGUGUUAAAAAUACCCAUAAGUCGUUUUUUCUUUAAAAAAUCAAUUAUUUUAUUACUAUUUUGAAAUUUUCGAUAAUAAGCUAACUUUAAAAAUUUGUCGACGAUUGUACGAUAGUCGAAUCAAUAAAUAUUUUACAUUCUCUCGAAAUUUAUUUUGAGAACUACAUCGUAGAGAUAUCAAAUGAUCUAAAUAAAUAUCGAAAAUAGUUAAACGAAGAUUAAACGUAUGUGUUAAAAAUGCGUAUACGUCGUUUUUCUUUAAAAAAUUAAUUAUUUUAUUACUAUUUAUUCUUUUUUCGCAACAAUUUUCUUAAUGCAUCAUUUUGCUUAAAAAAAUUAUGUGGUAUAACAGAAAUUUUUUUCUCCAUGCACGGAAUGAAUAUGUUUUUUUCGUUGUUUUAUAUAUUGAAUUAUUACUAGAAAAUUAAAUUUUAUUUCAAACAAUUAAAAAAUACUGAUUAAUAAUAAAAAAUUUGAAGAAAAAAAUUAAAAAGAAUUCUUAAUUGAAAAAAAUAAUUAUUUAUAACGUAAACCUAUACAGAAAAAAAUUCUCAAAUCUAAGUUUCUGUUUGGAAUUAUUAAGAGAAAAGAAUUAUAAAUUGAAAAAAAAAUUAUAACGUGAACAACAAAAAUUAAAAUUCUUUUUAAUUCUUUUUUCUUCAAAUUUUUUACUUAAAAGUAAAUUUUUGUAAAAUAUUUUUUUAUUUUUUUUUAUAUAAAAGUAAUUUUUCUUUCUUAUAUCCCAACUAUAUAUAUCUAUAUAAGAGUGGUUGAGCAUGGAGUGAUGGGAGAUAUGAAAAUUACGUGUUGCAGCAGUUUCUUACAGUAUAAUAAAAUACUUUAAAGUAAAAAAUUUUUAUAUAUUUUAUUACUAUAAAAUUAAAUAUUAUCUAAAAUUAUUAAAAAAAUAAAAAUACUAAUAAUGUAAGAUAGAAAAUAUUUCUAAGAGGUAAAAAGUUACUUGUGAGUAAAAAAAUUAAAGAGAAAGAAAUUAAAAAAAAUUUAAGUUGAAAAGAAAAAUUAUUCAUAAUGCAAAUCAAAGCUAAGUUUCUGUUUGGAAUUAUUAAGAGGAAAGAAUUUUAAAUUGAAAAAAAUUUAUAAUGUAAACAACACAAAUAUUUAAAAAAAAUAGUUAAACGGACAUUAAACGUAUGUGUUAAAAAAUACGCAUAAGUCGUUUUUCUUAAAAAAAUCAAUUAUUUUAUUACUAUUUCAAAAUUUUUGAUAACAAGCUAACUUUAAAAAUUCGUCGACGAUUGUACGAUAGUCGAAUCAUAAAUGUUUUAUAUUCUCUCGAAACUCAUUUUGAGAACUAUAUUGCAGAGGUAUCGAAUGAUCUAAAUAAAUAUCGAAAAUUGUUAAAUAGACGUUAAAUGUAUGUGUUAAAAAAUACGUAUAAGUCGUUUUUUCUUUUAAAAAGUCAGUUUUUUUCAAUUAUUUAAAAUUUCAUUUUUUUCAAGUGGAGAGCAAAAAUGGCGCGUUCCUCCGUGCAUAGAGUGCAUAUAUAUUUUUUUUUUACAUUAUUAUAGAUAUAGAAAAAAAACUAUAUCAUCGUAGUUGGAUAUAUCUAAUAAUUUCAGAAAAUAUCUAAUUUUAUAGUAAUAUUUUUAGUAAUAUUGAAUUUUUUAAAUUAAAUUUAUCUAAAUAUUACUUUAGAUUAAAUAUUAACUCAAAGUUUUAAGUAUAUUUCUUUACAUAGUAAAAAGUUUGCUUUAAGUUGUAAAAAAAUAAAAAAUAAAUAAUAUAUAUAUAUAUGUAUAUAUAUAUAUAUCAUUGUAGUUAGUUUAUAUAGUAUAAAGAAGUAUUAGCUUUUAUCUAAAAAGGAAGAAAAAAAAGAGAAAAAAUAAGAGGACUCUGUGCACAGAUAGAGAAAUGAUUUAUUUUUUUUUACUUAUAUUUUUGUGUUCAUUUUCAGGAUUACGGGAUAUCAAACGAAAUCGAAAUAUUAUAUUCUUAAUAUCGUUUUGAAAUACUCAUGGCAUAAUGUUGCACGUUGUUAACGGUGCGUGAAACAAUCAAUCGUAGGAAAUGUUAUGGGACGUCAAAGUAGACAUUUUCAAAUUAUAUUUCUAAAUUUUCGAUGAUAAGUUAACUUUAAAAAUUCAUCGACGAUUGUACGAUAGUCGAAUUGAUAGAUGUUUUACAUUCUCUCGAAACUCAUUUUGAGACCUAUAUGGUAGAGAUAUCGAAUGAUCUAAAUAAAUAUCGAAAAUAGUUCAACGGAGAUUAAACAUAUGUGUUAACAAAUGCGUUUUUUCUUUAAAAAAAUCAAUUAUUUUUUUCUUUUUAAUUCUUUUCUCUUCCAAAUAAAACUUAAUUUUUUAGUUUUAACAAAAAAAGUUACUUGUAGGUUAAAAAAAUUGAAGAGAAAAGAAUUUAAAAAAUUAUAUAUAGUGUAAUCUCCGUGCACGGAGGAUAAUUCAAUUUUUUUUUUUUUUUUACUUCUCCGUUCUCCAUUUUCAUACGCUAUGGCCACACAUUUUCAAAUCAACUCAUUUGCUUAUAUUAUUAUAUUAUAUAUAUAUUGUAAGAGAGGCAAUGUGAAUCUAUGUAACACGCAACUUUCCAUAUCUCCCGCCUUAUUCCGUGCUGACCACUUUUAUAAGUUAAAAAAAAAUUACUUUUAGUAAAAUAAAAUUUAGAAAUAAACAUAUUAACAAAAAAUAUUUCUAAUAUAUGUAAAAAUUACUUAUAUAAGUAAAAAAAUUCGUUUAAAAUUAUUUAGAAGUAAAAAAUAAAAUCAAGUUAUGAAAAUUAAAUGAAGAAUAUAUAAUUAUUAUUUAAUUAAAAUUGAAAAUUUUACUUUAUAAAUAAUUGUUUUUUUAUCAAUUUAUUUAAAUUUCUUUUUAAUUCUUUUCUCUUUCAAAUAAAAUUUAUUUAAAUUUUUUUAAAUUCUUUUACCCUACCAACCUUGGAGUGAUUGUUGUAUCGUCCGAAAAAUAGGCCUGCUAUUAGGGUUCUAAUUCUUACACUAACAAGAGAGUUGGCCAUCCACUAAGUGCCACUUUAAGUUAUUUUAUUUGCGAACCUGAGUUUGUUAUUUAAAUAUUUGUGUAUGUGAAUAUUCUCUUUCAAUUUACAACUGCAUGGGUUAUUUUUGAACUACAAGUAUAGCCUCUCAAAUUGAAGUUGCUAAAGAAAAGCAUUUUACAAAAUUCAAUUUACAACUUAUUUGCAAUAUCAGAUAAAAAAAAAUCUUCAUCUACAUUAAACAAAAAAAAUAAUUAAAAAUAAAUUAUCGUUGACAUAUAUAGAAUCACAACAUUCAUUAUACUUAUUUAUAAGAAUAAAAAUAAAUUAUCAUGACAUAAAAUAUAUAGUCGACCAAAAGAUAAGAAUCAAAUAAACAUUUCUUAUUUCCAAAUAUUUUUUGUACAAUCUAUAAAUUUUAUGCUAAUAAAAUCAAAAUAAAUACAAAAUAUGUGCAACUCACGAGACGUAGACUAGUUAUGGUAAAACAAUCUAAGUAUAUUGGGAUUCCACAUGGAGAAUAUGCUUUUAAUAUGAAGAAUUUGGCCCAAACUUAGGUCCUUGGAAAGGGAAUUGAAGAGCAAUUUGUACUUUGUCACCGAGAAAAUAUCUAUUAAUGCUGUUUUGUCUAUACUCUCUCUAUCUUAAAUGGGAAAUUAAUUUUUUGCACAUGUUUCAUUGCAUGCAUUGGCCUUUUACACUUAAGUUAAAAUGUAGACAAAUUGAGUGGUCCAUGUGGAAACGCUAAAAGAAUUUUCCAAGAUGACGCUAGGCUGGCCUUGGAGAGCGCUUGACAUCAUUGUUAUAUUUCUCCGUAACAAAACAAAAUUUAAAAGAUAAUUGUGUUGAUUGUUCAAAACUCUCUAUGCGAGAAAGACGAUUGGUUAAAGUAAUACGGGGAAAUGCAUCUUGUAUUAGUGAUGAAUUUAUUUGCACUUACAUACAAUGGCAGAUCUAGGAUUUUGAAUCAAUGCAGGUGAUUGUUGACCCAAUAAAAUAUUACGAGCUCGUUUGAUAUAAUUUGAUGGAAAAUAUGUGGUUAUAAAUAAGGAAAAGUUUUGAAUUUCGUGUAAUAUUAUUUUAUAGAAGAAUAUAUGGUUGAAAUAUAAGAGAGAAAAAUAUAUUCUGAAAUAAAUGGGAAUCAAACAAGAUCUAAAAUUUAAACAUAAAAAUUAUUUUGUUGAAAUUGAACAUAUAUAAUUUUGUUAAAAGAAUAAAUCAAACUCAUCAAAUGAUAUUGUUGCCAAGUUUUAUAUAAUUCAAAAGAAGAGUACAUGUUCAAAUCUUUGUUUCAUUAAAACAAGCUAAGAUCUAAUAUAUUAAAUUUGUUAAAUAUAUUAUCACAAUUCGACAAGUGAUAUGAUAGUCAAACUACUAAUAAUUUUACAAUGGCUCCAGGUUCUAAUACCCUCCUCCCCAUUCCAUUAAUUUUAAAUUGUAAAACUAAAAAAAUUGAACAAUAAAAGUUGAUCGAUAAAGGAUCGAACCUGGGACUUGCAAGAUGUAUAAGCCAACACUAACCAACUUGGCCAAAAGGAACGUUUGAAUGCAAAAUGAUUAUCAGAAAUAUAACCUAAAAAAUUCAUCUAUUUUCAACCAAAAAUAAUGGCUACCGGCAGAUUGAGCACGUGCGGCCCCGGGUGCUCGCCAAGUGUUGGAUCCUCUAGUGCUUGCAUAUAUAGUAUUGUACUUGGGAACAUUCAAUUUAAUAAUUUUGAAGAAUUGAAUAUUCCAAUAAUAAUAAUAUAAAGAUUGUUAACUUUCAAAGUGUUUAGAAAUUGAUUAUAUUCGCUUGUUCAAUUGAGGAAAUCGAAAUUUAAAUUCUAUCAUAUCAUCAAGAUUCCAUUCAAUGAGUUCAUCUCUAUUAUAGGAAACUUGAUAUUUUUUCUUCUCCUCGUAUAACAUAUCAGGAUAAGAAGGACGAGAUUAAUAAUUUGGAAGAUUUGAAUUUUAACCUUUCAAUUAAUUAAUGAAAGUUUCUCAUUCUCAACAAAUUGAUUUUCAAGAUCAUUAAGAUCAUCAAUUGUAUUAAUAUUUUUUGGAUGAUCCUAAUUUAGAAAUUUGUUUUGCAAGUUCUUGCAAAAUACUGGAUUCGGUAAGGGUAGUUUCUUUCCCUAGUUUUGGAACAAAUUUCGACUCUAUUGGUUUGAAAAUAAGAGAUUGUUUUUCAUCUUUAUUAGAUGAAGAUGCCUCAGUCUCAAAAUUGGCUUUAAUUCUAGAUAAUUGAGAACACAUAUUUUGAAGAAUAAGAUAAGUAUAAUUAUUCUGAAAUUGAAUAUUUUUUUAUAUCUUUUACUGUAGUGUAAAAUUCCUCUGAUCUAUCAGCUAGGAGUUGUUUGAUUAGAGAUACAAAUAUUUCAAUGUUUCUUUGAGAAACAACUAUUUCUUGCAUGAGAGAAUGUGUAGAUUGAAAGGUUUGACCCGAAGGAGUUUUCCAUAUUUUCUUAUUAACAUGAGUGUUUUGAACAUAUUUUUUAAAAACUUUAAAAUAUGCCAAUUCAUUAAAACUUAUAUCUUCAUAAUAAUCAUAAAAUUCUUCCCAUAAAGAUUUAGUUUCAUCUUUUGAAAACAUUGAAUGAAGAGUUUGACCAAAACUUUUAACUGAAGGAGUUUGAUUAGUUUUGAAUUUAUUCUUUCUAUUUAUAGAAGAAAUAACAUUACAUUGUUAAUUUAUUCUUUUAGAAUGAUUUGGAUGAUAUCAGUUGGAUGAUAUCAGAUAGGGUUGGCGAACCAAACUGUUCUAAUUAAUUCUUGUUUGUUUAAAAACACUUUAAUCCAACAUUAUCUGUCAAUUCUCAAAUUACUCAAGAAAACAAGAAAAGUAAUAAAAAUUAAAAAUAUAAUUAUAUCAUUAAAUAGGAUGGGGAACUGCCAACCACAUUACUGUCCUUACUGGACGAAAUGUAAACGAUCGUCGAACCUAAAUUAAAAAUGAAGGCUUUUGUCUCCUAAAGGUUUUUAUUUAUGCAUAGAUGAAAAGGUAACAACGGAUUCAUUGGAAGCUAGGUUAAUCAAAUUUUGAAGGUCAACAAAUUCAAUUAUUAACUUACAAGUAAACAAAUCAGGACUAAAAUGAAACAACUCUAAUAGUUGAGUGACUAACUCUGUCUUUAUAAGUCCCAAUUCCCACGGCCCACGCACUCAACUGAUGACUUCUAUCACCAAGUUACCAUCUUUCCCUGCAACCUCUUUAUUACCCCCUUUUCCAUGAAUUCAUUUAACUCCCUAACCCAAAGAUAAAGAGUCAAAAUCAAAUCAAAUCAUCAUAAAUUGUAAAUUAGAAACUCCCAAAUUCAGAAGUUUACUCGUUUACCUCUGAAAUGGCGUCCGGUUUGUUACCAUUUCGGCCACUGACAAUCGUUAGAGCUAGUUUCAGCGCCGAUGACCGGAAACCUGAAGCUAAAAAAACUUCAUCGUCCCACUGGUGGGCUCCGCUGUUCAGAGUUUCGUCGGAGCCGGACUAUUUACAGUCUGACUAUAAGAAGAGCAACCCGGAUCCGGUAGAGGCGAGGUCUCGGUUCAGUCCGGGAUCUUUCACGGAGGAAAAGGCAAAGCAGCUCCGGAGGAUGACAACUAAUACGUCGUCGCAUGAUAUGUAUCACUCUGCCAUUGCAUCAAGGCUCGCCUCCGAUUUCGCCGAUCGGCGUACUACGUGAGUGUGUGUUUUUUAUUAAAUAAUUUGUAUAAAUAUUUAAAAAUUGUUAGAAGGCGAUGUGAUGAUGUGGAUCUGAUCCGUAAGCUUGUACUAUCUUAAUCAAUAUGAUUGUAUAAUUAGAUCAAUACUUUAUCCUAAUUAUUAAUGUAAUGUUGUUAGGUAAAUGGAAUGCAUAUGUGGCAUUUUUCUAUUAGGAGUUGGAUCAAUAAUUGAGUAAGGUGGGGUCGAAGUGAUUUAAUAGGCGCUUUUGGUUUAACUUUAGAAAAUUGAUAAAAAAAAAAU
rnacentral:lncRNA from 1 species